rnacentral:rRNA from 1 species
UACGUAGGGUGCGAGCGUUGUCCGGAAUCAUUGGGCGUAAAGCGCGUGUAGGCGGUUCGGUAAGUCUGCUGUGAAAGUCCAGGGCUCAACCCUGGGAUGCCGGUGGAUACUGUCGGACUAGAGUACGGAAGAGGCGAGUGGAACUCCCGGUGUAGCGGUGAAAUGCGCAGAUAUCGGGAGGAACACCAAUUGCGAAGGCAGCUCGCUGGGACGUCACUGACGCUGAGACGCGAAAGCGUGGGGAGCAAACAGG